GGCCUCCCUCAACUGCUUCUUCUCUUCCCCUAACUCCAUCAAGGUGAUGGAUUGGUGCGACUGCAGAGGAUUGAUAGGUGUUGUUCGGUGUACCUCGACAUGAUUUCCAGGACAUGAAAUCGGCAACAGGAUUUGCAGAGUACAAGGGUGGGCUCAUCGAGGUGUGUGGUGGUAGGCUCGCUCGGCCCCGGCAUCUUCUGUUGAACGGACAUGCUGCCUCUUCAGUGUCGGCUACAUGAGAGCCAUGGAAUCAAUGAUGCUGACCUCCUUGUAGAGUUGUGCGAGGUACCAAAUGAUGACCUACUCGCGCAGUUGUGAUAGGUACCGAUGACCUCCUCAUACUCACCGAUAACAAGUCUGGUUUCACAUUUGUUGGGCACUAUGCUUUUGGUGUAUGAUAUGGCUAGGAGAAAACACACAGUUUCCUGCAUUGUCUGAUAAUGUCAAUUUGUUCUGUAAGAUCUGAGUUUAUUGUACUAUAAAUGGUGAUAAUAUUGCGCCUAGUAUGUUCACGACCUUUUACAUUGUAUGGAUAAUUGGAUAGACUGAGCUACCGUCUUCCCCUGUAUACUCCGCAGUCAAACUCAUAUGAUAGAGUAGAUAUUUUCUACCUGUAGCAUCAUGGAGGUAUUAACUACCUGAUGUAUUCGUAGAACAACAUCAUGUUUGAAUAUGC